AACGAACGCUGGCGGCAUGCCUGACACAUGCCAGUCGAACGAGACCUUCGGGUCUAGUGGCGCACGGGUGCGUAACGCGUGGGAACCUGCCCUUAGGUUCGGAAUAACUCCCCGAAAGGGGUGCUAAUACCGGAUAAUGUCUUCGGACCAAAGAUUUAUCGCCUUUGGAUGGGCCCGCGUUGGAUUAGCUAGUUGGUAGGGUAAAAGCCUACCAAGGCGACGAUCCAUAGCUGGUCUGAGAGGAUGAUCAGCCACACUGGGACUGAGACACGGCCCAGACUCCUACGGGAGGCAGCAGUGGGGAAUAUUGGACAAUGGGCGAAAGCCUGAUCCAGCAAUGCCGCGUGAGUGAUGAAGGCCUUAGGGUUGUAAAGCUCUUUUACCCGGGAUGAUAAUGACAGUACCGGGAGAAUAAGCUCCGGCUAACUCCGUG
rnacentral:rRNA from 1 species